GUGGAGUUGGUACGUGCCUCCGUGAUGCCCGUGACCACCAUAUUUUGUAAGGACUAGUUUUCUUUAGAUAGUAAACAUAAAUGUUCUGCAAUUGCAGACGCUGCUCCGCACGGACAUGGGACUCACAAAGGCCCUGGGACCAGCCGAUAUCGGGAGUAGCCCAUGUGGGAGAAUUGAGCAUCGCGAGAGCGAACCUGGAUACACAUUUCAGUGGUUCAUCAGGUUAGUGCAAGCCUGGAUGGUCGACAGUAUUUGUAGCAAAGAUGAUGUUGGAAAUGUUGAAGGUGCACAUAAUUUUCCAAAAAAUGAAUAAUUCGGCAUGGCGGGGAGGGUGGCAGUCCUCCGGUUAAGAUUCGGUGGUAUAGCCUUUGAUUAGUCGGCGCAUUUCAUCAGCAAUAUCAAUGUGAUGCUGAUAAGCACCUAAAAUUCCUGAUUAGGAUUAUGAUGAUUCUUUAUAGUUCUCUCAGCAAAAGAGUACAUUUCCCAUACUGUUGCUUCUGGGUUGAUCUGCUAGAAUAGUGGUAGCAAGCCAUCGCUUGAAUUCAUCAAAGGACUCAGUAACUUCUACGGCAUGCUUAGCAGAGAUAUGUGAUGUUGGUGCUGGGGGGUCUCCGGUGUGUUCUGAUGUAUGGCUACGUGUGGGUACGUCCUCAGCAGCCGUCUCCCCCAGUAAGGAAUAAGGACAGUAAGAUUGACCAGUCAUAGAAAGCAUGAAAAAUCUUGAAAAUGUAACUGUGACUCGUAGGACUGGUCAAAUAAAGAUUCCUGUGAAAUGUUUGGAAAAAUACUGAUGUCAACAACUUCCUUUGUGCACAGUUAUGCAGUAAUGCUGGAU
rnacentral:lncRNA from 1 species